rnacentral:rRNA from 1 species
UGGGGAAUUUUGGACAAUGGGCGAAAGCCUGAUCCAGCAAUGCCGCGUGUGUGAAGAAGGCCUUCGGGUUGUAAAGCACUUUUGUCCGGAAAGAAAUCCUUGGCUCUAAUACAGUCGGGGGAUGACGGUACCGGAAGAAUAAGCACCGGCUAACUGCGUGCCAGCAGCCGCGGUAAUACGUAGGGUGCAAGCGUUAAUCGGAAUUACUGGGCGUAAAGCGUGCGCAGGCGGUUUGCUAAGACCGAUGUGAAAUCCCCGGGCUCAACCUGGGAACUGCAUUGGUGACUGGCAGGCUAGAGUAUGGCAGAGGGGGGUAGAAUUCCACGUGUAGCAGUGAAAUGCGUAGAGAUGUGGAGGAAUACCGAUGGCGAAGGCAGCCCCCUGGGCCAAUACUGACGCUCAUGCACGAAAGCGUGGGGAGCAAACAGGAUUAGAUACCCUGGUAGUCCACGCCCUAAACGAUGUCAACUAGUUGUUGGGGAUUCAUUUCCUUAGUAACGUAGCUAACGCGUGAAGUUGACCGCCUGGGGAGUACGGUCGCAAGAUUAAAACUCAAAUGAAUUGACGGGGU